UGGUGUGUAACUCAAUUGGUAGAGUAGUAGGCUUUUAACUUAAAGGUUGAUGGUUCAAAUCCAUCCAUACCAA
rnacentral:tRNA from 3 species